GGGUCUAUAACCAGGCGCUGCUCCCGGACACGAGAGGACUGCGAGCACACAGGUCUGAGGAGGUGAUUUUGAUGGCCACAGGGUUGCUCACCAUCAUUUUACUCUGUGCUGUUGUGGCUGGAGCUUCAGGGAGUAAGUAGAAGAAAUUUUUCUGCUAAGAAAUGUUCUCACUGGCAAAACAGAGCAUUAUGUCACAGCUUGUAGGUUUGUAGUAGCUCUUGUAGCACUUUGUCUGGAUUUUUACUGUAGUGUAGCACUUUGCUUUGCUGAGCUCUUUGAGUGGUACUGAGCAGGUGUGAAAGCACCCUCCCUGGAGAGGAUGCAUUAAAUAGUGCAUCUUCCUUCAGCAUUCUGGAGAAAGCAACAGAAAUAGUGAGAUUGUGUCAGCCUGUAUACUUUAUAGAAAAACUGUCAUGGAUUUAGUUAUUGUUUUGAGGACCAUGCUAGGAUUUCAGCGAUUUCACUGAAAUUCAGAAGCAGCAGGUCCGUGCUGAGCUGCACACAAAUUUGCAGUGCUUUUCUGUUCUGUUACCUGUCGUUGCAGGAUCCUCAGAGAGGUUAAGUUAUGGAGCUUCCUGUUUUGCAGAAUGUGCAGGACACAGUGCAUCAUACUUCCCCAAAAGAGCUAGAUACAGCUACAGGUAUUCAGCAGUCACCAACACAUUCCUGCAGGGAAAUAUUUACAAAGGCAGUGGCAUCUCUCUGGAGACCACAGUGAUCAUUGAAGUAUUGGGGAAUUGCCAGAUGGUUUUGAAAGUAAGUAUUGUCAUAAUAGUUUGGGUGAUUGGGAUGAGCUGAUGUGGAAUCUUA
rnacentral:lncRNA from 1 species